rnacentral:misc_RNA from 1 species
GAUGAAGAACGUAGCGAAAUGCGAUAAGUAAUGUGAAUUCAGAAUUCAGUGAAUCAUCGAAUCUUUGAACGCACAUUGCGCCCCCUGGUAUUCCGGGGGGCAUGCCUGUCCGAGCGUCAUUACAACCCUCAAGCUCAGCUUGGUGUUGGGCCCCGCCGCCCCGGCGGGCCCUAAAGUCAGUGGCGGUGCCGUCCGGCUCCGAGCGUAGUAAUUCUUCUCGCUCUGGAGGUCCGGUCGUGUGCUCGCCAGCAACCCCCAAUUUUUUUCAGGUUGACCUCGGAUCAGGUAGGGAUACCCGCUGAACUUAAGCAUAUCAAUAAGCGGAGGA